GACGAACGCUGGCGGCGUGCUUAACACAUGCGAGUCGAACGGAAAGGCCCUGCUUUUGUGGGGUGCUCGAGCGGCGAACGGGUGAGUAACACGUGAGUAACCUGCCCUUGACUUUGGGAUAACUUCAGGAAACUGGGGCUAAUACCGGAUAGGAGCUCCUGCUGCAUGGUGGGGGUUGGAAAGUUUCGGCGGUUGGGGAUGGACUCGCGGCUUAUCAGCUUGUUGGUGGGGUAGUGGCUUACCAAGGCUUUGACGGGUAGCCGGCCUGAGAGGGUGACCGGCCACAUUGGGACUGAGAUACGGCCCAGACUCCUACGGGAGGCAGCAGUGGGGAAUAUUGCACAAUGGGCGGAAGCCUGAUGCAGCAACGCCGCGUGCGGGAUGACGGCCUUCGGGUUGUAAACCGCUUUCGCCUGUGACGAAGCGUGAGUGACGGUAAUGGGUAAAGAAGCACCGGCUAACUACGU
rnacentral:rRNA from 1 species